rnacentral:rRNA from 1 species
AUGCAGCCCAUACGUGGAUCCACUUUCCUGGAGGAGGCAGGAGAGAGUAUGGUGCCGCCCGCUUUGGCUUCAGCGACGGAGGGGGCUGACAUGGUGGUGGAGCACCUGGUGGUGGAGCACCUGGUGCUGGAGCAAGCAGUGGUAGAGUUAGAACAUGCAGUGGCCAGCGCGGACGCACAAAUCUUGUCAGCCAAGGAGGCGGCGGCGGCGCCGAGGGGAGAGAGCUCUCCGCCAACAUCGGAACUGUCGAUUGGGAAGAUGAAUCCUUGGGCACCUGGAUGGAACAAAAGGCUUAGGAUUGGGGCUGCUGCACCAAGCAGAACACCUUGCCCAAAACCGUGUCAGUGCAUUUGA